rnacentral:lncRNA from 1 species
AUCUCCCCACUGAUCCCCUAUAGAUCUCAUCCUAUAGGGACCAGACCCAUCCAUAUAGACCAGGCCUUAUAAGGGCCACCCCAUUGAUCCCUUAAAGACCUCACCCUAUAGGGACCGCCCCCUAUAGACCUCACCCUAUAGGGGUCACCCCCACCCAUAUAGACCAGGCCCUAUAGGGAUCUCCCCACUGACCUAUAGAUCUCAUUCUAUAGGGACCAGACCCACCCAUAUAGAAUAAAUCAUAUAGGGGUCAGACCUACUCAUAUAGACUGGACCCUAUAGGGACCACCCCACUGACCCCCUAUAGACCCCACCCUAUAGGGAACACACCCUAUAGGGACUACCCCACUGAUCCCAUAUAGACCUCACCCUAUAGGGACCAGACCCUAUAGACCCCACCCCACUGACCCCCUAUAGACCCCACCCUAUAGGGACCAGACCCUAAAGGCGCCACCACCCCACUGACCCCUAUAGACCUCACCCUAUAGGGACCAGCCCCUAUAGACUCCACCCUAUACGGACCCCACCCUAUAUGGACCAGACCCUAUAGGGACCACCCCACUGACCCCUUACAGACCUUACCCUAUAGGGACCACCCCCUAUAGACCUCACCCUAUAGGGACCAGACUCUAUAGGGACCACCCCGCUGACCCCCUAUAGACCCCACCCUAUAUGAACCCCACCCUAUAGGGACCACACCCUAUAGGGACCACCCCACUGACCCCUUACAGACCCCACCCUAUAGGGACCAGACCCUAUAGGGACCACCCCACUGACCCCCUAUAGAUCUCACCCUAUAGGGACCAGACUCUAUAGGAAUCACCCCACUGACCCCCUAUAGACUUCACCCUAUAGGGAUCAGGCCCACCUAUAUAGACCACACCCUAUAGGGACCCCACCCCUUACAGACCCCACCCUAUAGGGACCAAACCCUAUAGACCCCACCUUACUGACCCCCUAUAGACCCCACCCUAUAGGGACCACACCCUAUAGGGACCACCCCACUGACCCCCUAAAGACCUCACCCUAUAGGGAUCAGUCCCAACCAU